rnacentral:rRNA from 1 species
AUUGAACGCUGGCGGCAGGCCUAACACAUGCAAGUCGAACGAGUGGCGGACGGGUGAGUAAUGUCUGGGAAACUGCCCGAUGGAGGGGGAUAACUACUGGAAACGGUAGCUAAUACCGCAUACCAUCGGAUGUGCCCAGAUGGGAUUAGCUUGUAGGUGAGGUAACGGCUCACCUAGGCGACGAUCCCUAGCUGGUCUGCGAGGAUGACCAGCCACAGUGGAACGUAGACACGGUCAAGACUCGUACGGGAGGCAGCAGUUGGGAAUAUUGCACAAUGUGGGCAAGCUGGAUGCAGGCAUGCCGCGUGUAUGAAGAAGGCCUUCGGGUUUUAAAGUACUUGCAGCGUGGAGGCGUUACCCGCAGAAGACGCACCGGCUAACUCCGUGCCAGCCGCCGCGGUAAUUC